CUGUCUCAAAGAUUAAGCCAUGCAUGUCUCAGUACAAGCCACAUUAAGGUGAAACCGCGAAAGGCUCAUUAAAUCAGUUAUGGUUCCUUAGAUCGUACCCACAUUUACUUGGAUAACUGUGGUAAUUCUAGAGCUAAUACAUGCAAACAGAGCUCCGACCGGAGACGGAAGGAGCGCUUUUAUUAGAUCAAAACCAAUCGGCGGCGUUUACGUCGUCGUACAAUUUGGUGACUCUGAAUAACUUUACGCUGAUCGCACGGUCUCGCACCGGCGACGCAUCUUUCAAAUGUCUGACUUAUCAACUGUCGAUGGUAGGUUCUGCGCCUACCAUGGUUGUAACGGGUAACGGGGAAUCAGGGUUCGAUUCCGGAGAGGGAGCCUGAGAAACGGCUACCACAUCCAAGGAAGGCAGCAGGCGCGCAAAUUACCCACUCCCGGCACGGGGAGGUAGUGACGAAAAAUAACGAUACGGGACUCAUCCGAGGCCCCGUAAUCGGAAUGAGUACACUCUAAACCCUUUAACGAGGAUCAAUUGGAGGGCAAGUCUGGUGCCAGCAGCCGCGGUAAUUCCAGCUCCAAUAGCGUAUAUUAAAGUUGUUGCGGUUAAAAAGCUCGUAGUCGAAUCUGUGUCCCGCGCCGCCGGUUCAUCGUUCGCGGUGUCAACUGGCGUGCCGCGGGACGUCCUGCCGGUGGGCUCAGCCCGCGAGGGCGGCCCAACUCAAUCCCGCCGCGGUGCUCUUCACUGAGUGUCGAGGUGGGCCGGCACGUUUACUUUGAACAAAUUAGAGUGCUUAAAGCAGGCUAAAAUUUCGCCUGAAUACUGUGUGCAUGGAAUAAUGGAAUAGGACCUCGGUUCUAUUUUGUUGGUUUUCGGAACCCCGAGGUAAUGAUUAAUAGGAACGGAUGGGGGCAUUCGUAUUGCGACGUUAGAGGUGAAAUUCUUGGAUCGUCGCAAGACGG
rnacentral:rRNA from 1 species